rnacentral:lncRNA from 1 species
AUACCCCAGUGGGUCCCAAGACCGGAAUGGAGUUAACGAUCUCCUGUUUCUUGCCCUUAAAACUUGACACCGUCUUUCCAUUCUCCUCUUCCUUUGAACUGUUCUGCUAGUGUUUUGUAGAGAAAAUAUGCUAAGCCCUGUGCUCACUACGGCUUUCUACCAACACCAAAAUACCAAUAUUUCCCCAGCCUGAAAGAUAGCCCAGAAUACUAUGUGUGUUCCAAGAAAUGGCAGUGGAUGGAGACCACCUAGGUAUUGUUUUAAAGGAUUCAUGUCAAACUUGUUUGGCUCCUAGGGAGGAAGAGAAAAGUAUUGUUUCAUGGAAACGCAUUAUUCCAUGGACAUCUGUACUGCACUAUCAAGAGACCUUCAUUCAAAGUCAUCAGAAGAAACUCACUACCCCAGAUGUUGACCGGAGUUCAAUUGACCUGUUCAAAUGUACUCAGUGAUUGAUGCAUAAGAAGUGCUGACUUUCAUAGUAGCACCUUGGGGCCCUUAGAAAAUUAGGCUCCCUGUAGCCUGUAAUCAAAAGAGUCCAUGCCAGUGAUUACACAAAUUCAGUUGUUUCCAGGGAAACACCAUACAUGGGAUACCACAGGAG